GGGAGCUCUUUGGUUUUUCCUGGGAGUUAAAGUAAAGAUUUACCUCCUCUUAAUUUUUCCAGUGGGUGGUAAACAAACUUCUCUAAGCCUCUUCUGGUAAGGGCUUCCGAGAUAGUUUUUACAUGCAGGAAGAGAGAACAAGUGCAGGCAACGUCCAAGGUCCUCUUGUUUUGCAGAUCACUGCACAACAGACCCUCAGGUAGAACAAGUUUAGAUAGUGACUCUUAACCAAAGUACAAGUUAGCAUCACCUGGAAGACUUUACUAACCAUGGUUGGCUGAGAGUCUGUGGGAGCAGAAGAGGAAACUGAGGCUUUAGAGAACUGUAGCACAUUGGCAAGGACAUCCAGCUCAUAAACACCCUCAGCCUUCAGCAUGAGAACAGGGACAUCAGCCUGCUUUGCCCAUGGAACUGUCUCCAGAGCCUACAACAAUGCUCAGCCUAUGAGAGGUGUCUCCUAGAAGACUUUCCAUUUCAACAAGCCUCAUUUAUAUGCAACUGGCAAUUUCUCUAAACAGAAGAAAAGGGGAGAUUUUGCCAAUCAAUUGGCUUCACCAUCCCCCAGCCCCAAAGUGUGUUUAAGAACAUUUGCCUGUGCAUGCAUGUGUUUUCCUUUGCAUCCCACAAGAGGAAGGGUCUCGCUCUGUGGCCCAGGCUGGAGAGUAUGGUGCAAUCAAGGCUCACUGCCCCAUGUUCAAGCCAUCCUCCCACCUCAGCCUCCCAGAUAGCUGGGACUAGAGACACACAUCACCACGCAUGGCUCUGGGUUACUUCAAUAAGUAUUUUUCAAUAAAUAUUUCUUCAAUAAAUAUUUAAUAACACAAAGCUCAUGAAAAUUUAUCUCUAUUAUUUCUUGGAAUAUUGUGGCCAAUUUUAGAUGGUCCAAAAUUGUGAUCUUUUCAUUUUUAUUAUAUGCUGGUUUAGAAUAGAAAUUUUCUAAUUAAAAAUAGCAUCAUCAUUAAAAUAUUCUUCUUCUAAGUCAAGAUUAUCCAAAGUAUAGCAAAUGCCAAAAUCAUUUCAUGUAGACUCUCUGAUCUCCCCUCAUCGGAUGUGUUCUCUGCUUCUGUGGUUCUGUAGGAAUAAAGAGCACUCUCUCCCUGUUAGCAAAUUUU
rnacentral:lncRNA from 10 species